AACUAGGUAAGCUAAGACAAAGCUAGUGGGCUCAUAACCCAAAAAUGAUUAAUCUCCCUUGUUAU
rnacentral:tRNA from 1 species